UCGGCGGCUCGUCCAAGUGCUGCAGGCGCAACACCUCCAAGGUAUCCACACGUGCAGGGAGGAAGCGUCGCAAGCCGGACUGCUAGAUCCGCGAGUUGCAACAGGCGAGGGUGUGGGAGGCGCGGCAGAUGUGUUUCGCCAAAAGGUGUAAACCCUAGGGCGCCCCCACCCCUCUAUUUAUAGAGGUUCCUAACGGUCCUCUGGGUCCGAGGCCCAUU
rnacentral:lncRNA from 1 species